rnacentral:rRNA from 1 species
UUGGGAAUCUUGGACAAUGGGGGAAACCCUGAUCCAGCCAUGCCGCGUGAGUGAUGAAGGCCUUCGGGUUGUAAAACUCUUUCGACGGGGACGAUAAUGACGGUACCCGUAGAAGAAGCUCCGGCUAACUUCGUGCCAGCAGCCGCGGUAAUACGAAGGGGGCUAGCGUUGUUCGGAAUUACUGGGCGUAAAGCGCGCGCAGGCGGUCUUCCAAGUCAGUGGUGAAAGCCUGGAGCUCAACUCCAGAACUGCCAUUGAAACUGUUAGACUUGAGUACGAGAGAGGUGAGUGGAAUUCCCAGUGUAGAGGUGAAAUUCGUAGAUAUUGGGAAGAACACCAGUGGCGAAGGCGGCUCACUGGCUCGUAACUGACGCUCAGGCGCGACAGCGUGGGGAUCAAACAGGAUUAGAUACCCUGGUAGUCCACGCCGUAAACGAUGAACGCUACCCGUUGGAUAGCUUGCUAUUCAGUGGCGCAGCUAACGCAUUAAGCAUUCCGCCUGGGGAGUACGGCCGCAAGGUUG